UUCUCUGAUAUCACGUGACUU
rnacentral:piRNA from 1 species